UACGUAGGGUGCGAGCGUUGUCCGGAAUCACUGGGCGUAAAGCGCGUGUAGGUGGUCUUUUAAGUCUGGUGUGAAAGCCCGGGGCUUACCCCCGGAAGGGCACUGGAUACUGGGAGACUAGAGUACCGGAGGGGAAGGUGGAAUUCCUGGUGUAGCGGUGAAAUGCGUAGAUAUCAGGAGGAACACCGGUGGCGAAGGCGGCCUUCUGGACGGCUACUGACACUGAGACGCGAAAGCGUGGGGAGCAAACAGG
rnacentral:rRNA from 1 species